CGGUUCUUUUUCCGGUGUGAUGAACGGUCCGGCGUUGCUCAUAAAACGGGGAACAGGGAUUCGGAAUGAGCGAUCACUCAUCGCUAAAUCCCACUCUCCUUCCGUAAUUCCACGCUCUUCUUCCUUUUCCUCCACGGUAUCCGCCGAGGCACAGACGCCGCCGCCCGCAGAAGGCGGACGCCGGAGGGCGGCUUCCACCACCCCCGCCGUUCUCCCUCCGCGCCUGCGGCCCGCCGCCGGGAUCGGGACGGAGCACCUUCCGUCAUCGUAUCAAUUAUUUACCUAGAGGCCACUCUGAACGCCGGCUUCAAACCAUCCGGAUGGAGGAGGAAACCUUCGAUCCCGAACUAAUUUGUUCCAUUUUCAAGCUGGUUUGGAGCAGAAGAGCAACCGAGAGGAAUGAAAGCAUUGAAGUGGUGGACGUCGAGGUAGGUGACAGAACAAAAAAGAAUCGACAAACUACUGCUAAUUCAAAUGCUCUAAAGCUUAGUUGUGAACUCAUUCGCAUUUUUGUCACAGUUUCUUUUCUUGACAGAGGCUGUGCAACGUUCUGGUAUGAUAGCUGAAGCAGAGGGUAUUAAUAAAAUUGAACCUACUCAUUUAGAGAGAGUACUUCCACAAUUGCUUCUGGAUUUUUAAGCUGUUGAUGGCGAAAUCAGAAGGGCACUUUGAGGCUGGACACUAGAAAGAAAAGCCCAUCUUUUGUUUUCAGUCAGCCUGGAAUUCCAUUGUCAGUCUACCUACGUGGAUUUGGACUAAGCUGCAAGUCCUCCAUCUGACCGAGUCUGCUGGUUGAUCAGUUGUCCCGGUGGCUGGAGGAAAAUAAUUGAAGUAGGAUGACUUUGUUAAAGAAGAAAAGACUUAGAUCCUAUAUAUUCCUCAGUUUUUCUCAAGUUUAAAGGAGGAAGCUGAAUGACUUCAUUGAUUAAAUACUUGCCCUGCUAAAAACUAUGGUUAUUUUCACCGGUUAUGAGAGAAUUAUGAAUGUGUUGCGGGUAGUUUAAAAA